CCCUUAGAUGUCCGGGGCCGCACGCGCGCUACACUGAAGGAAUCAGCGUGGCUUUCUCCCUGACCCGAAAGGGUUGGGAAACCCGUUGAAUCUCCUUCGUGAUAGGGAUUGGGGCUUGAAAUGGUUCCCCAUGAACGAGGAAUUCCCAGUAAGCGCGAGUCAUAAGCUCGCGUUGAUUACGUCCCUGCCCUUUGUACACACCGCCCGUCGCUACUACCGAUUGAACGGUUUAGUGAGGGCCUCGGAUUGGUCUCGGCCCGCUCUUUACCGGGCGGCGCCGUUGGUCGAGAAGACGCUCGAACUUGAUCGUUUAGAGGAAGUAAAAGUCGUAACA
rnacentral:rRNA from 1 species